CAUUGUCCCCUUUACGCCUGCAGAAUGGCCUCACCCCUAGGGGACAAGCGCUCUUCACCGCGGGUGAAGACCGCCCACUACAAAGAGACGUCGACGGUCCACGUGGAGACGUCGUCCCACCGCGUGGAGACAUCCUCCCGGCAGGUGCGAACGUCUUCCCGGCUCGUGGAGACCUCCCAGCGCCGCAGCGAGGGGCCCUCCCUCUCCCCCUCUGGGAAACGCCUUCCUCAGGUCCUCGAGGUGUCCUCCCAGCACGUGGAAACCUCCUCGCAGCUAACAGAAACGUCCUCCCUUCGUGUCAGGUCCUCAUCCCGGCGGGUGGAGACGUCUCUGCACCACGUGGAGAGCCCUGCCCGGCGGGACAAGCCGGCAGGCCGCCAGAAUGCAAAAACAGCCAGAUGACGUGUUUCCCAAAGGCGUCCAAAAGGCCAUAGCCCUUAGCCGGGACGGAACUGCCUCCAGUUUCCAGCCAGCCAGCUGCCAAGUGUACUAAUCAUCUUAUUAGAUUUCAUGGAAACAGCCCAGAAAUCAAUGUAAGAAAGAGCCAAGCUGCGGUUUCUGGACUCAGCCAACAUUUAUUGACCACGCUGCACCUUGGACCAUCCUGCUUUUGACCCAGUGAACUAUUUUAACUUGAAGCCAGCACAAAAGAUUUUCAUGCCCAUGAUGCUGUGUAAAUUGGGUUGGUGAACAAGAGGCUGUUUGAGCCUCUGAACCAGUUACAGGGAAGUACACGGCCUGUACUAUAGAAUGGGGGCUCAAGUGGAAGAAAUGUUAUAAAACCCGAGAAGCUACCCUAAUCCCUCUGCCUCAUAAAACUUCUGCUCUAAACUAAUAAUUACUCCUUGGAAUUUUAAUGUUUGGUGAUACUACUAAAUCUUUUUAACAUGACAGACUGCGUGCAUUAUAUACAAACCACUCUCAAUCAGUGUUUUCCAAAUGAACAAAGUAGUUGCUUCUCUUUAACAAUGUUCAUUAUAAAUGUUUUUAUCACAAAAGUAAUAUGUGCUUAAUGUAACAAAUGAAAUAAUUCAAAAAUAUGUAAGGAAAAAUUUAAUAACUUAUUAUUAAUCUUUUCCAUUCCCAUCCUUUGGAAAUGACUGUCAGCAACUUGGUUUGUACAUUUCCAGACUUUUCUACAUUCAUUGACUGCUUCUAUCCUCCUCCUUAAUGUUAUCUGAUAGACUGGUUUGAACAUUACUCUGAAAAAGCCAAACACCUGGCUUCUUGAUGAUUGAUUAUCUAGGAAUGAUACAGGACCCUACUAGCUUCUUUCUUUUUCUUAUCCUUGUUGCAUAAGUGGGGUUUUUCCUCCCAAUUUCAUUUAUCCAUGUUUCAAAGCUGAAUUCCAAAGAGAUACACACAGAGCAAGAAAGUAUCCAAGAAAAGCAAGCGACAUGAAGGAAAAGACUGGCAAGAUGUUUGUCAUAUACACUGUUUACACAUCAGAUUCCACAGCUUUAAAAUGAUGCUGUUUGUUAAAGCCUGCUUGUCAUAAUUGUUAAUGCACUUGCUGCAUGUUCUGUGUGUGUGUUACCCAUACUGUAUAUUCAGUUAUUUAAGGCAAGAGGGUAAAUCCAGUUUCUGUUACUUCACUCUGCCUAGAAGCCUCCUGCUCAUGAUUAUUUUAUAUACAUUUUGUUGAAGAUUAACCUUACAAUUUGGUCUUUAGGCAACAGAAUAUCCGCUGUUAGACUGUGACUACAUUUACAGAGUAAUUAUUAUAGCCCAGAGAUGGAUACAAUGACUGUUGGAACUUUCAUUUUUGAGGAGAGGGUAGUAACAUCUUUAUUUCUGUGAAGAAUAGUUGCAUUGUGUUAGGUAGAAGAAACCCUGUUUGUGGUAUGGAAGUUCAAAUAUAAAUGCUGAUUAACCAAUAAGAUUGACUGUGGCAGUUAGAUUUUGUCCUCGGCUCCAACCCCCACUUCUAUACUCAGUUUUGUAGCUAGGGUUAAGGUCUCCAAAAACCAUAUUUCUACUUUGCCACCUGGCUCCAUGUUGAGUUCAUACCAGCAGCAUUUCACCCUGGCAGCAGCAGUGCCAUCCCUUAGUGCCAGCUGAAUCUGCUUUGUAACAUUCUAAUGUUUGAAGAACAAAUUUUUAUUGUACCCCACUUCAGAACACCAGUACCAGCCAGCCACCACCCUUCUCAGAAGUCUGAGUUCCAGCUCUACACAGCCCCUCCUCCACGUUUCAACAGCUUCAGUAAUUCUGAGCCCUGUCCUUUCCUGUCUGCUAAUGAGGUAGAGGAGCGGUCCCCAACCUUUUUGGCACCAGGGCCCGGUUUCAUGGAAGACAAUUCUUCUAUGGACUGGGGGUGGGGGGUG